GACGAACGCUGGCGGCGUGCUUAACACAUGCAAGUCGAACGGAAAGGCCCUGCUUUUGUGGGGUGCUCGAGUGGCGAACGGGUGAGUAACACGUGAGUAACCUGCCCUUGACUUUGGGAUAACUUCAGGAAACUGGGGCUAAUACCGGAUAGGAGCUCCUGCUGCAUGGUGGGGGUUGGAAAGUUUCGGCGGUUGGGGAUGGACUCGCGGCUUAUCAGCUUGUUGGUGGGGUAGUGGCUUACCAAGGCUUUGACGGGUAGCCGGCCUGAGAGGGUGACCGGCCACAUUGGGACUGAGGUACGGCCCAGACGCCUACGGGAGGCAGCAGUGGGGAAUAUGGCACAAUGGGCGGAAGCCUGAGGCAGCAACGCCGCGUGCGGGAUGACGGCCUUCGGGUUGUAAACCGCUUUCGCCUGUGACGAAGCGUGAGUGACGGUAAUGGGUAAAGAAGCACCGGCUAACUACGUG
rnacentral:rRNA from 1 species